UUAACGGCGGCGGGCCCGGGCAGGCUGGGAGUUGUAGGCGCGGCGGCGGCGGCGGCAUGCCGGGAGCUGUCGUAAACGGCCGCCGCCGCGCCCGCCCGCCAUGACCGGGCCGCAACCCCGGGGCAGCCCGCCCGCUCCCCGAGGCGCCCGGGCCGCUCAGCCCCGGGCUUGCCGCUCUCCCCACGGCGGCGGGAGGGCCCGGCCGGGCCGGGCCGGGAGCCGGUCCCAGCUGUACAGAUCAGCCCUUGACAGCCGCCCCGGCGGGAGGGCGGCCGCCGCUUCCGUUGGUCUUCGGCCUCCUCCUUUUUGAACGUCGGUGGGAAGAAUUUCAGAUGCGUGAAGUUCAGUUCUGGGAGGAGUUACAUGAGGAGCUCUACAAACAUUUUUGUAUUUGUGUCAGAAAGGACAUCAGAUUUUGCUGACGAUCGUUACCUGAAAUACAGUCCUUAGAGUAUACGCAGAGACCCUAGUGAAAAAGUAGAAUUGUGGUGAUAAGAUCUUAUGACAUGUAACUAGUGGAGUGCAUCGAUAAAGAGGAGGAUUGGAAUAUCCAUAUACCAACAAGAUGAAUCUAACCUGAGAUGAACAGAAUUAGAUGGUGGGAUGUGAGCUACAGACGGAAUCUCAGAGCUUAUGGGACAGAAAUGUGACCAUGGCUCUAUGAGUAUGGAGUGGACCGUGUCUGGUUGUUAUUUAACCUGGAUUCCUGAAAAACAUUUUUCUCUUCCACCAUAAGUCAGAUUCUUUAAAGAAAAUUAUUCCUCUUCACAGCAGAUGCUUUCUCUUGUUUGUUUCUUGACCUUUUUGAGUUGGAAGGAAGUCAUGGACUUUCCCUCUGAAAUGUGGGAACACAGUGUUAGGACUACAGCAAAGGGAAGUUUUCUGACCUGAUUUGCCCGUGUCAUCCUACAAGGCUUUCUGCUGCGAAAAGAGGCACUUCCACUAGGGUUAGUGGUUUUUCCUUCUCUUGCGCUGCACCGCGCCUCUGGAAAUAGUACUGAUUGGAGGAGCAAAGUUAGGGAAGUGAGAAGCACUCAUGGGAUAAGAUUGAUAAUUACAUUCGCAUGAGCCGAUAACAAAAGCAAACCAGCUAAUACUUUAAUAUUAAACAAAAACAAGCUGUUGCUGCGGUUUUUAAGAGUAAAACAAAUCCAUUCUUUUGCAGGUUUUAUAUAAACAAGCCUGGGAGGAAUGUGUACAUGUGUAUACUCAUGCACACACGUACGUAUACACACACAUACACCUGCUUUGCUGCAUAUGCUGGCUGAUGAAUAAAAAUAGCAGAGGAUCAAUAUAUAAAAGUACCCGGAACUCACACACUGAACAAAAGCAAAGUGUGCCAGAGCUCAGUUUGGUAGCAGUAGGCUGGGAAAGGGAUGAUUCAGGGCAGCCUGCAGCAGUGUUUUUUGUGUCUUUUUUUUUUUUUUUUUUAAUUAUUGUUGUUAUUUGGUUGGUUUUAAUUACUAUUUGUAAGAGUGCUUUGGAGCCAGGUCAUUGCUGCUGUAAGUCUUCACAUUUUCAUUGAUGUCUCCGGUGGGGUAGUGAUUUUACACCCCCUGAGUAUAAGGCCUUUUGGGUGGGGACAUUAUUACAAUGUCUCUGGUCGUACAUCAUUUACUUCCUUAUUCCUGUCAAAAAAAAAACCAAACAAACCAACAGUCAAAGGGGAGGUAACGAUAAGCUCUCUCCAUAGGAAGAGGAAAGCUCAGUACCUCUAAAAUGGUCAUAUAAGUUGGUACAGAAGCUGUUGGGUGGUGUCACAGCAGCAUCUAUAGGAAUAGAAAUAGCAAGAGGAGAAACAGGAAUUUAGGCAUUCCCCAUAUUUUCCUCCAGCUUGUGAAAAUUCUAGGACAGAAGGAAAUGCCACCUUUUGGAUCUACUUAUUUUGUUUUCUGCAGUGUCUUUACAUACAGUAACUUCUCUCAAAAUGCAAACACAGCCAAGUAACUAAUAAGUAGGUAGGGUAAGACUACUGUUUGUACUUGUGUCAGAUGUUCUUCAGGUGAUUCAGUGGAAAGGGAGUCCAAAUGAUUGCUGCUGUUCUUAAUGCGGCGUGCAGGUGGAUGACACCUUGGUUUAAAUUACUCAGGCAAAAUAAGUUUUGUUCUCCCACCAUCAAGCAUGGAGUCAGAGGAGCCAGACUUUCACCUGCUGGCGCAAGGCGAUAUUCUACUCCCGUAAAUUUCUCAACAUAAUAUUGACUUGUAAUAACGUCUUUUCCUAUUACUGUCCGGAACGUCUGGUUGCCCUCUCAGCAUCUAAAGAUAAAGCCUAGCUCCCCCCCUCCCCAAAUCACCUGCUCGGGUGCCAUCUAACUGUGAGAGAAGCUCAGUUCCUGCCCCCAGAUUUCUCUGCCUGCCAAGGCGCUGGUGAGCAGUGCGCUUGCGCCGGCAUGGCACCCCCCACCUGUGCCCGUGGGCUCUGGCCUGCCACGUCUCCAAAUACAUCCCCCAAGAGCUCGCACUUCACUCCCCUUGGGGCCGCUGAGGUAUUUAGGGGAGAUCAGUAUGGGAUGAGUGUGGGUGUUGGGAGAACGGGUACUCUCUGGGCAGGGGAGAGUGCGGUGCCACAUCGCUGAAGCCGCUGGUUGGGGCGAGCAACAACAGGUACUUGGGAUCCAAAUUUUUCCUGUAAUGGGGAGCAGGAUGCAAUCCUGGGAGUGACUGAGUCUCCUGGGGUGUUUUUAAAAUGACAGCUUUAAUGGUUAAAACUUGAGUAGUAGAACUCUUUAGGAAGUCUGGAAGCCAGGCAUUUUGGAGAAUUUGAAGAACAAAAUACAGAAGCAUAAUUGGGUGUCAAAGGUAGGAGACUGAGAUUUUUUGCUUUCACCUUCUGACCUGGUAGGGUCCUUGCUGAACUCUCUACCCUCGCAUUUCCUCAGGUGCAAACUCGGAGUGGUGCAUCAUACCUAACAGGCAUUCUUCAGAGCAUAAUUCAUGUUCAUGAAAUACUGGGAGUGGCCAAGAUAAAGCCUUUGAGAAGUAUCGGGUUAUGGCAGGGGCAGCAAAACCGGCAAGUGGAUCUUUAAGGAGACACUUGAGGAAGAGAGAUUUUUUUUUUAAAAGGAUAUGAUGGCAAAGCUAGCCCACUGGGAUAUGGAAGAGGUGAAGUAGCUGCGUGGAAGAGAGAAAAUGCCGCGCGAUUCCUGUCCUGUGGAUGUGAACCAGCUUGUGCUAGGUGGGCUCCGCCCGGGACAGCAAUGCAUUGGAGCAGGGUGGAGGGAGGGCUGUCGACACAAUCUCACAUUCAAUAUGCUCCACAAAAGGACGCAGUGAGAGAGGGUUCAGUGUGUAUAAUACAGUGCAGGGGAUGAACAAUAGGUUAUAGAUGAGGAGAUAAAAGUGUAUUAUCAAAUGUAGUCCAUCAUCUGGGUCUGAGAGUGAAUGCAUCACGCGAGGUGACACUGAGUGUUGGCGGUGGCGUGAGGGACAUGCAUUCCUGAACUUUGUUCUUUUUAUGUGGACAAGUAUCUGCAUCACUUAUCUACAGUUAUGAAACUAGGUAGCAGAGACAUCGAGGAUUAAACAAUGAGAACACAGUAUUUUGUUUCUACAGAUGAUAUUUUCAGCUCAAAAUCAAUAUAUUUCAGUGGGCUGUAGCAUUGAAGAAGGUUAAUCUUCUCUUGCCACAGCUCAUAUUGUGUCUCCACUAAACACAUGGCUUUGCAGCAUGUACAACUAUUAGAAUUUUAUUGGAGAAGUACUUGAUUUCCAGCACUGAUUAAAAAAAAAAACCAACAGCUUUAUAUG